CGCCCUGUUCUUUUACAUUUUACUUUGACAUGCCUUGGGGUUUUCCUUGGCUUAGCAAUUCUGUGUUCCUUUUCCUUAUCCCUACUUUUAAUUGCUCCUUCCGUUCUCAGCAACAGUCACACUAUCCCGUUGACAUUCUUUUCAUUUAUUUGCUCCUUUUAGUCUCCCCAGGUCCCUUCAUUCUCUCACCUACAACACUUCUAGUUUCCUUUACUGGAAACUUCACUUGAAUAUUCCAGAGCUUCCUUUAAAUAUUUCAUUUCCAAGAGAAUUUGAGGAUGCUGUCAUGUCCUAUGAUUUACUGCAGGUCUCAUUUUCAAAGAGCAAUAUUUCUGUAUUGCAGCCAAACAAGCAAACCCUUCAUUGCAUUAUGCAGUCUGGUUAGAUGAGGAGAUGAGUGUGAGAACCAACUCCAUGUCUCAGGCAUCAAGCUUGAGCCUGGAUCUUCAGAAACCCCUGGACAGGGUUUUUAGCUCAAACCCAGCCAGUGAUACACCAAAAGCUGGUAGAGCUGGUAGUUACCAGCAGCUGGUUUCUCGCUUGUCUCUGCACGUUGUGUCAGGGGCCAGCUCUGCUGUGCUGCCUCUGCCAGGGGCCGCCUGCGGGGCAGGCACAUCCAAGUGAUGGAGCACCCCUGCCACACCUGCUCUGCGGAGGGGGCUCGAAUCAGGGCUGUCCUGAUCUCUGGGCAGCCGCUGUUCCCAGGCGGAUGCGGCUUUCUCCUCCUGUCAUAGCUGCUCUCAGGCGGGGGUCUCGCUUGGAGGGUCAGGAGGAGCUUGUGCCGGCGCCAGCGCCUUGGCGACAGAUUUUGCAAGAGCAGAGCUGUGCCUGCGGGGAGCCCGAGGGAUGAAGCCGGGCGCUGCCAUCCGCUGUGGCGUUCCAUGAAAUACCUGCUUUCAUGGAGGAAAGCAAACAGGACCACUGAAACCAGAAACAUUGGAAUUUUGGUAGUAGAACAUUGGAAGUUGAUCUUACCCGUGGAAAAUGCUGUAGGUAGAAUGGUAAGAGAGAAAUGCCAAUAUUUGAAACUGAAGCAAUAGAUAUAAUUUUGUAUCUGAAAAGACAUAAGAGUAGCUUUCUGGAAGAGUGUGGCAUCCACAGUGUUCAGAUAUUCCUAUUAAAUGAUGAAAAGUGGAAUAACUUUUAGAAGAAAUAAAAACAUAUUCU